rnacentral:rRNA from 1 species
UACGAAGGGGCGAGCGUUAUUCGGAAUCACUGGGCGUAAAGCGUGCGUAGGCGGUCCUAAAGUUAGGAGUGAAAGCCCAGGGCUUAACCCUGGAAUUGCUCUUAAAACUAUAGGACUAGAAUUCGGGAGAGGAUAGCGGAAUUGUCAGUGUAGCAGUGAAAUGCGUAGAUAUUGACAGGAACACCAGUGGCGUAAGCGGCUAUCUGGACCGACAUUGACGCUGAGGCACGAAAGCGUGGGGAUCAAACAGG